rnacentral:rRNA from 1 species
ACCAGCCAAGUAGCGUGAAGGAUGACUGCCCUAUGGGUUGUAAACUUCUUUUAUAUGGGAAUAAAGUUCUCCACGUGUGGAGUUUUGUAUGUACCAUUAUGAAUAAGCAUCGGCUAACUCCGUGCCAGCGAGCCGCGGUAAA